GUGUCAGCAGCCGCGGUAAGACGAACCGUGCGAACGUUGUUCGGAAUCACUGGGCUUAAAGGGCGCGUAGGCGGGUCACCAAGUCCGGGGUGAAAUCUUUCGGCUUAACCGGAAAAGUGCCUUGGAUACUGGUGGUCUUGAGUGAGGUAGGGGCAUGUGGAACUUCCGGUGGAGCGGUGAAAUGCGUUGAUAUCGGAAGGAACUCCGGUGGCGAAAGCGACGUGCUGGACCUCUUCUGACGCUGAGGCGCGAAAGCUAGGGUAGCGAACGGGAUUAGAUACCCCGGUAGUCCUAGCCCUAAACGAUGGGUACUAGGUUGUGGACUUAACAUGGGUUCACAGCCGAAGCAAAAGUGAUAAGUACCCCGCCUGGGGAGUAUGGUCGCAAGGCUGAA
rnacentral:rRNA from 1 species